rnacentral:rRNA from 1 species
ACGGAAGGCAGCAGUGGGGAAUAUUGGGCAAUGGGCGCAAGCCUGACCCAGCAACGCCGUGUGAAGGAAGAAGGUCUUCGGAUUGUAAACUUUUGUCUUAUGGGACGAUAAUGACGGUACCAUAGGAGGAAGUCACGACUAACUACGUGCCAGCAGUCGCGGUAAUACGUAGGUGACAAGCGUUAUCCGGAAUUAUUGGGUGUAAAGGGUGCGUAGGCGGGCUGUAAAGUCAGAUGUGAAAUCCCGGGGCUCAACCCCGGAACUGCAUUUGAAACUUACGGUCUUGAGUGGAGUAGAGGUAAGCGGAAUUCCCAGUGUAGCGGUGAAAUGCGUAGAUAUUGGGAGGAACACCAGUGGCGAAGGCGGCUUACUGGGCUCUUACUGACGCUGAGGCACGAAAGUGUGGGGAGCAAACAGGAUUAGAUACCCUGGUA